rnacentral:rRNA from 1 species
UACGAAGGGGGCUAGCGUUGCUCGGAAUCACUGGGCGUAAAGCGCACGUAGGCGGCUUCUUAAGUCAGGGGUGAAAUCCCGGAGCUCAACUCCGGAACUGCCUUUGAUACUAGGAGACUUGAGUUCGGGAGAGGUGAGUGGAACUGCGAGUGUAGAGGUGAAAUUCGUAGAUAUUCGCAAGAACACCAGUGGCGAAGGCGGCUCACUGGCCCGAUACUGACGCUGAGGUGCGAAAGCGUGGGGAGCAAACAGG